GGGACACGUGGUAUCCUGUCUGAAUAUGGGGGGACCAUCCUCCAAGGCUAAAUACUCCUGACUGACCGAUAGUGAACCAGUACCGUGAGGGAAAGGCGAAAAGAACCCCGGCGAGGGGAGUGAAAAAGAACCUGAAACCGUGUACGUACAAGCAGUGGGAGCACGCUUAGGCGUGUGACUGCGUACCUUUUGUAUAAUGGGUCAGCGACUUAUAUUCUGUAGCAAGGUUAACCGAAUAGGGGAGCCGAAGGGAAACCGAGUCUUAACUGGGCGUUAAGUUGCAGGGUAUAGACCCGAAACCCGGUGAUCUAGCCAUGGGCAGGUUGAAGGUUGGGUAACACUAACUGGAGGACCGAACCGACUAAUGUUGAAAAAUUAGCGGAUGACUUGUGGCUGGGGGUGAAAGGCCAAUCAAACCGGGAGAUAGCUGGUUCUCCCCGAAAGCUAUUUAGGUAGCGCCUCGUGAAUUCAUCUCCGGGGGUAGAGCACUGUUUCGGCAAGGGGGUCAUCCCGACUUACCAACCCGAUGCAAACUGCGAAUACCGGAGAAUGUUAUCACGGGAGACACACGGCGGGUGCUAACGUCCGUCGUGAAGAGGGAAACAACCCAGACCGCCAGCUAAGGUCCCAAAGUCAUGGUUAAGU
rnacentral:rRNA from 1 species